rnacentral:misc_RNA from 1 species
GAAGUCGUUACUCCAACCCUUGUGGAGGAGGACGCCGAAGGUGGGGCUAAUGACUGGGGUGAAGUCGUAACAAGGUAGCCGUACCGGAAGGUGCGGCUGGAUCACCUCCUAACAGGGAGACAACAAAAUGUAAAUAUUAAUUUUGUCACCUUAGGUCGAUCGGUAUCUCAGAUUCUUAAUUAUUUAAGAAUUUCAGUUUCUAAGUUUUUUCUAGGUCACACCCAUCACUUUUUCCUGGGCCAUUAGCUCAGGUGGUUAGAGCGCACCCCUGAUAAGGGUGAGGUCCCUGGUUCAAGUCCAGGAUGGCCCAUAUCUCUAUGUUGGGGGUAUAGCUCAGUUGGUAGAGCGCCUGCUUUGCAAGCAGGAUGUCAGCGGUUCGAGUCCGCUUACCUCCACUGAAUACCACCUCUUACAUAUAGUUGAAGUGGGAAAUUGUUUUGAGUCGUGUCCUAAUUUGCUCUGAGCGAAUCUAGCUUCCUAUUUUAUCCAAGAAAUAAGAUGCUGGACUCAUUGAAUUUUUUUUCAUUGUUUUCAGAGAACCUUGACAACUGCAUAGAUUAUUUUUAAAGACAAUAAGCAUCUUUAAUGAUGCAGAUUUAUUAUUUGUGCGAAUGCAUUAAAUAACAAUUCUAUUAAGCUGAUGCUUCAAUUAUUGAAGUUAUUGGUCAAGCUACAAAGGGCUCACGGAGGAUACCUAGGCACACAGAGGCGAUGAA